rnacentral:rRNA from 1 species
UACGGAGGGUGCGAACGUUAAUCGGAAUCACUGGGCGUAAAGCGCGCGUAGGCGGUUUGUUAAGUGGGAUGUGAAAUCCCCGGGCUUAACCUGGGAAUUGCAUUUCAAACUGGCCGACUAGAGUACGGUAGAGGUAGGUAGAAUUUCCUGUGUAGCGGUGAAAUGCGUAGAUAUAGGAAGGAAUACCAGUGGCGAAGGCGGCCUCCUGGAUCGAUACUGACGCUGAGGCGCGAAAGCGUGGGGAGCAAACAGG